UAGGGAAUCUUCGGCAAUGGACGGAAGUCUGACCGAGCAACGCCGCGUGAGUGAAGAAGGUUUUCGGAUCGUAAAGCUCUGUUGUUAGAGAAGAACGUUGGUAGGAGUGGAAAAUCUACCAAGUGACGGUAACUAACCAGAAAGGGACGGCUAACUACGUGCCAGCAGCCGCGGUAAUACGUAGGUCCCGAGCGUUGUCCGGAUUUAUUGGGUGUAAAGCGAGCGCAGGCGGUUCUUUAAGUCUGAAGUUAAAGGCAGUGGCUUAACCAUUGUACGCUUUGGAAACUGGAGGACUUGAGUGCAGAAGGGGAGAGUGGAAUUCCAUGUGUAACGGUGAAAUGCGUAGAUAUAUGGAGGAACACCGGUGGCGAAAGCGGCUCUCUGGUCUGUAACUGACGCUGAGGCUCGAAAGCGUGGGGAGCAAACAGG
rnacentral:rRNA from 1 species